GGGGAAUCCAGAAAUCCUUGGAGCAAUUUC
rnacentral:piRNA from 1 species